GACGAACGCUGGCGGCGUGCUUAACACAUGCAAGUCGAACGGAAAGGCCCUGCUUUUGUGGGGUGCUCGAGUGGCGAACGGGUGAGUAACACGUGAGUAACCUGCCCUUGACUUUGGGAUAACUUCAGGAAACUGGGGCUAAUACCGGAUAGGAGCUCCUGCUGCAUGGUGGGGGUUGGAAAGUUUCGGCGGUUGGGGAUGGACUCGCGGCUUAUCAGCUUGUUGGUGGGGUAGUGGCUUACCAAGGCUUUGACGGGUAGCCGGCCUGAGAGGGUGACCGGCCACAUUGGGACUGAGAUACGGCCCAGACUCCUAAGGGAGGAAGCAGUGGGGAAUAUUGCACAAUGGGCGGAAGCCUGAUGCAGCAACGCCGCGUGCGGGAUGACGGCCUUCGGGUUGUAAACCGCUUUCGCCUGUGACGAAGCGUGAGUGACGGUAAUGGGUAAAGAAGCACCGGCUAACUACGUG
rnacentral:rRNA from 1 species